rnacentral:rRNA from 1 species
GGUAGGCCUUUCGGGGUACCGAGCGGCGAACGGGUGAGUAACACGUGGGUGAUCUGCCCUGCACUCUGGGAUAAGCUUGGGAAACUGGGUCUAAUACCGGAUAUGACCACAUCCUGCAUGUGUUGUGGUGGAAAGAUUUAUCGGUGCAGGAUGGGCCCGCGGCCUAUCAGCUUGUUGGUGGGGUAAUGGCCUACCAAGGCGACGACGGGUAGCCGACCUGAGAGGGUGACCGGCCACACUGGGACUGAGACACGGCCCAGACUCCUACGGGAGGCAGCAGUGGGGAAUAUUGCACAAUGGGCGGAAGCCUGAUGCAGCGACGCCGCGUGAGGGAUGAAGGCCUUCGGGUUGUAAACCUCUUUCAGCAGGGACGAAGCGUGAGUGACGGUACCUGCAGAAGAAGCACCGGCUAACUACGUGCCAGCAGCCGCGGUAAUACGUAGGGUGCGAGCGUUGUCCGGAAUUACUGGGCGUAAAGAGUUCGUAGGCGGUUUGUCGCGUCGUUUGUGAAAACCCGGGGCUCAACUUCGGGCUUGCAGGCGAUACGGGCAGACUUGAGUGUUUCAGGGGAGACUGGAAUUCCUGGUGUAGCGGUGAAAUGCGCAGAUAUCAGGAGGAACACCGGUGGCGAAGGCGGGUCUCUGGGAAACAACUGACGCUGAGGAACGAAAGCGUGGGUAGCAAACAGGAUUAGAUACCCUGGUAGUCCACGCCGUAAACGGUGGGCGC